UUCUCAUUUACAGUCAGACUCAGUAGAUUUGCAAACAGCAGCUCACAGGAUCACAUGCAGCGACACUCCCACCUGCAUCUCUUCAUAUCUCUGGAACUAUCAGACUCUCUGACACUUUCUGUCCAAGACAACAUGGAAAUUACCAUCAAACAAGGCGUCCUUGGAUUAUUACUCAUUUUACUGUGGACUUCAGAUCUAACUGAUGGAAGUAAUGUCACCCAGACCUCCAUGUUGUGGAAGAAACAGGGUGAAGAUGCUACAAUAGACUGCAGCCACACCAAGGGUGCAGACUAUUUCCAGAUGUACUGGUACAGACAACUGCCAGGAGAAACUAUGAAACUAAUCGUGUUCACAAGUACAAUCAACACAAAUCAUGACUUUGGAGAUUUCAGCAAAGACAAAUUCUCAGCCACUAAACCUGACGCUCAGAGUGGAACUUUCACAGUGAAGAAUGUGCAGCCAGAAGAUCAAGGCUUGUAUUUCUGUGCUGUCAGUAAACACAGUGAUAUAGAUACAUGUGAAAGCUGAACAAAAACCCCAGCACACUGUCAGCACAACUGUUUCCAAAACUACUAAUCAGAUGUAGUGUGGUUCACACCACACAAUACAUGAUAUUCCCACCUGCAGCUCUUCAUCUAGGGCUGUGAGAAUUGUGUGUUAAACUCUGAAUUUA